ACACAAAUCACCCUGGAUUCUUGCUAAAAUGCAGAUUCUGAUUGUGCAGGCCUGAGAUUCUGCAUUUCUACAAGCUCCCAGGUGAUGGCUGU
rnacentral:pre_miRNA from 1 species